GCUGGACAUCGUGGCGGGUGCCUGUAAUCCCAGCUACUUGGAGGCUGAGGCAGGAGAAUCGCUUGAACCCAGGAGGUGGAGGUUGCAGUGAGCCGAGAUUGCACCAUUGCACUCCAGCUUGGGCGACAAGAGUGAAACUCUGUCUCAAAAAAAAAAGAAAAAAUUUUUUUUAGAGACAGGAUCUUACUCUUGUCGCCCAGGCAGGAGUGCAAUGGUGUGAUCACAACUCACUGUAGCCUUGACCUGGGUCAAGUGAUCCUCCCACCUUA
rnacentral:SRP_RNA from 1 species